CGGUCUCUGCUCGCCUCAGAGGCUUCAGCCCGGCCUGUCGUCCCGCAGACGUGACUGGUGCCCGCCGCGUCGGGAGCCCCGCCGAGCGCACGCGCCUGGGCGUCAGCUGGAGCACCCACGGUGAGGUUGAGGGACUCAUUUCAAACCAUGCUGAGAAGGUUUGUGCUGGCAGCUAAGCCCAGGCUUGGUGGUGUGAGACUUCAAAACAGGAGCCGAGGAAAGGAGAAAUUCAACCCAGAAUUUGAGUUACUCGCCUGUCUAAACAGAAAACCGGACAACCAGACCGACUGCCCCAACCACCUGAAAUCCGCGUCCUUGACCCAAACAAAGACAGGACCUCACAGAAGCGAACUGCAGUGUCCCAAAGCGAACAGCAGAGGGAGACAGAGGUACAAGAAGCUCUGGAUCAGUUCUGCCACCAUGACACGUCGGGUUCUGUUUCACUGAUGGAUUUUUCUACUUGUUGUGGAUCAUGACUGCCUGUGCCUUGGUGUGCCGGGACUCUUUAGUCAUAUGCAGACAUUGUGAAGUUUUUCUCUACUGGUUAUCACGGUCCUGACUCUCGCCUCCAUCCUGGGAUUUGGCCUCAGACCCCUUUGGUGUGUGGGCACUAUCUGAAAGCAGUGAGCCAAGCCAUGGCUGGACUGCCUUAUUCCGUCUCACUUCCAGGGCUUCCCUGAUUCCCAGGGUCUGGCAACCUGGCAUCUCACGGGUUUUGUCUGCUUCUUGUCCUGUGUGGGGAAGGGAGAAUUCAUACAGGAGAUUACAUCAGGUUUCUGUUCUUCCCUUGAAAGGACAACAUAAAAUCCAUUUGUCUUCAUUUAAGGACCAGGAUUGAUUUAGAAAAGAAAGCCGUAAGACACCAGCUCCAGGAACAGACCAUAAAAUCCAGGAGCAAGGUCAUCAAACCCCCUCCCAAGAACAGCCUGGGGAUAACCACAAAAAUGGGAAAAUAUCUCAGGGUGAGCCAUCUGUGCUGGGCAGCCCUAUCCCAUCUCAUGGUUAAACAUUCAUGACAUAGGAAUACAGACCACUGACCACCUGUGACCACCUAGCACCCACCAA
rnacentral:lncRNA from 1 species